GACGAACGCUGGCGGCGUGCCUAAUACAUGCAAGUUGAGCGAUGAAGAUUGGUGCUUGCACCAAUUUGAAGAGCAGCGAACGGGUGAGUAACGCGUGGGGAAUCUGCCUUUGAGCGGGGGACAACAUUUGGAAACGAAUGCUAAUACCGCAUAACAACUUUAAACAUAAGUUUUAAGUUUGAAAGAUGCAAUUGCAUCACUCAAAGAUGAUCCCGCGUUGUAUUAGCUAGUUGGUGAGGUAAAGGCUCACCAAGGCGAUGAUACAUAGCCGACCUGAGAGGGUGAUCGGCCACAUUGGGACUGAGACACGGCCCAAACUCCUACGGGAGGCAGCAGUAGGGAAUCGUCGGCAAUGGACGAAAGUCUGACCGAGCAACGCCGCGUGAGUGAAGAAGGUUGUCGGAUCGUAAAACUCUGUUGGUAGAGAAGAACGUUGGUGAGAGUGGAAAGCUCAUCAAGUGACGGUAACUACCCAGAAAGGGACGGCUAACUACGUG
rnacentral:rRNA from 1 species